rnacentral:rRNA from 1 species
UACGUAGGGUCCGAGCGUUGUCCGGAAUUACUGGGCGUAAAGGCGCGCGCAGGCGGCCCGCGCAGGUGUCACGUGAAAGCCCCGGGCUCAACCCGGGAGGGUCGUGGCAAACCGGCGGCUUGAGGCCGGUAGAGGUGGGUGGAACUCCUGGUGGAGUGGUGAAAUGCGUAGAGAUCAGGAAGAACACCCGUGGCGAAGGCGGCCCACUGGGCCGGU